rnacentral:rRNA from 1 species
GUCGAGAAUUUUUCACAAUGGGCGAAAGCCUGAUGGAGCGACGCCGCGUGGGGGAUGAAGGGCUUCGGCUCGUAAACCCCUGUCAUUCGAGAACAAACCCUGCGAUUGAAUAGAUCGCGGGCUGAUAGUAUCGGAAGAGGAAGGGACGGCUAACUCUGUGCCAGCAGCCGCGGUAAUACAGAGGUCCCAAGCGUUGUUCGGAUUUACUGGGCGUAAAGGGUGCGUAGGCGGCGAGGGAAGUUCGGGGUGAAAUCUCCAGGCUCAACUUGGAAAAUGCCUUGAAGACUCCCUUGCUAGAGGAUCGCAGAGGAGACUGGAAUUCUCGGUGUAGCAGUGAAAUGCGUAGAUAUCGAGAGGAACACCAGUGGCGAAAGCGGGUCUCUAGGCGAUACCUGACGCUGAGGCACGAAAGCCAGGGGAGCAAACGGGAUUAGAUACCCGUGUAGUCC